GAGCCCUUCUUGCGUGUGUCUCCCUCCCCCUAUCUUGCAUGCAGACUUCUCCUUCCCAUACGCACACCCGCUGCUUUACUUUUUUGUUCUUGUGGUUUCUCCUCACUCGCAGGCUCGCGAGUGAGCGGCGCUCAGCAUGGCAGGCGUAGCCUACAUUGUGCGAUGCCAGCGCUGCGGCGUGGCGCGCAAGUCAUACAAUGAUCCGCGACGCGGCAUCAGCGUAAUCGAGUGCAAGCAACCCUGCGGCAACUCGCACUACAACUGGACGUAUAUUCAAACAAUCCCCGAGAGCGAGGAGUACCCACUGGCGAACGUCGAGGAGAACAUCAUCCCAGUGUACGCGCCUCCCACACGCGCACUCUCAGCGUCACCGUCGCCGCCGCGGCAUACGACUCCGCCGUCACCGUACAAAGACAAGGGCGUGGAGGAGAGACUAGAGUUCUGUAGUGAAGGUCGCGGGUCGAUGGCAUGCUUGCCGCCCGCGCCCGCAGGUGCCGGUGCACAAAACGUCUCGUCGCCGUUUCCUGGCACUCCUUAUCCCACACAUAUGCGGGAAGAGGCGGAGGGCUACCGACUGAGGGCGACCACGUCGAGGCCAAAGCACUAGGAAACCCACCAGCAGCAGGAUUUCUCUGUAAAUAAUUCGUCAUCGAUCUUCGCGUCCCCUCUUCCCGCCUUACAAGGGCCACUGCAAAGAGCGGCGCACACACGCACACGCACACGCACGGACACUUUAGUCAUUCGUUUUGGGUGCGGUGAGGGUCGUGCCGAAGGCAAAGAAUACGAAAGGAGAAGCGAGCGUUGGCUUGCCCGGUCUCCGCCGGACGCCGUGCCGUCAUGCGUCUUUAUCCCCUCUGUCUGCUUGCGUGUGCGCGUGUGGCACGGGCACAACGAAGUUGGCGCUGAGAGAAAGAAGGGGGAGGGGGGAGUGGAAAGGGCUGAGUGCACUGCCGUGGUGCUCCUCCGAGUUAUCCAGGUCUCUCGCGCACUCUUUCUUUCCGGCCACCUCUCAUUCUCCGCCAGUGCCUCAAACUCUCCGUUGUUCUGUCGCUUGCCUAUGAAGGAAAACCUCGACAUCAGCUCCUUGCGCUUCUGCUGCUGCUCUCCUUUUUUUUUUUUGACAGUCCACCUGCGAUGACUUUAUGGCAGCUUUCGUGUGAUGCCAACUGCUUCAUGCGAUUGUAUGCGGGCAUACACAGACAUGCAUACACAC
rnacentral:misc_RNA from 1 species